CAUAGAUUCCUGUUUGCUCAACUACAAGUUUUUUUGUGCUCGAGUUUCAUUUUUCCUCAAAAUAUAAUUUGUGUGCUCGCUCAAAAUAUUUUUCUGCGCUCAAAUUGUGCUAUUGCUCGCUCAUAAAAGUGGAACAAAUGAGAGGAAAUUGGCUACUGUACUUAU